UCAUCAUUAUUGUUUAUGUUCGACUUAUAGCGAAAAUUAAGUGCAGCGAAUAGGUGUCAAAUAAGUUAUUUAAUUGAAAUCUGUCAUAGCACGUGUGCAUCAUUUAUUGUCGUCAACGUGAGCCACAAAGCACAAUUAGAGAAAAGUACAAGAAAUUGACAUAAUUAAGGAAAAAGGCAACCACAGAGCAGGCAAAAGA